rnacentral:rRNA from 1 species
UACGAAGGGGGCUAGCGUUGUUCGGAAUCACUGGGCGUAAAGCGCACGUAGGCGGAUCUUUAAGUCAGGGGUGAAAUCCCGAGGCUCAACCUCGGAACUGCCUUUGAUACUGGGGAUCUCGAGUCCGGGAGAGGUGAGUGGAACUGCGAGUGUAGAGGUGAAAUUCGUAGAUAUUCGCAAGAACACCAGUGGCGAAGGCGGCUCACUGGCCCGGAACUGACGCUGAGGUGCGAAAGCGUGGGGAGCGAACCGG